rnacentral:rRNA from 1 species
CCUACGGGUGGCAGCAGUGGGGAAUAUUGCACAAUGGGGGAAACCCUGAUGCAGUGACGCCGCGUGCGUGAAGAAGUAAUUCGUUAUGUAAAGCUCUAUUAGCAGGGAAGAAAAUGACGUUACCUGAGUAAGAAGCCACGGCCAACUACGUGCCAGCAGCCGCGGUAAUACGUAGGGGGCAGGCGUUAUACGGAUUUACUGGGUGUUAUGGGAGGGUAGACGGCAGGGCAAGUCUGGAGUGAAAGGCGGGGGCGCAAACACCGCACUGCUCGGGAAACUGUACGGCUGGAGUGCAGGAGAGGUAAGUGGAAUUCCUAGGGUAGCGGUGAAAUGCGUAGAUAUUAGGAGGAACACCAGUGGCGAAGGCGGCUUACGGGAGUGUUACUGACGUUGAGGCUCGAAAGCGUGGGGAGCAAACAGGAUUAGAUACCCGUGUAGUC